AUUGAACGCUGGCGGCAGGCCUAACACAUGCAAGUCGAGCGGAUGCAGGGAGCUUGCUUCUGGAUUCAGCGGCGGACGGGUGAGUAAUUCCUAGGAACCUCCCUGGCUGUGUGGUAUAAGGUCCGAACACGGGCGCUCUUACGCCAUUCGUCCUGAGGGCGUACGUGUGAGAUCUUCGGACCUUACGCUAUCAGAUGAGCGUAGGUCGGAUUAGCUAGUUGGUGGGGUAAAGGCCUACCAAGGCGACGAUCCGUAGCUGGUCUGAGAGGAUGAUCAGUCACACUGGAACUGAGACACGGUCCAGACUCCUACGGGAGGCAGCAGUGGGGAAUAUUGGACAAUGGGCGAAAGCCUGAUCCAGCCAUACCGCGUGUGUGAAGAAGGUCUUCGGAUUGUAAAGCACUUUUAUUUGGGAAGAAAAGCAGUAGGUUAAUACCUUGCUGUUCUGACGGUACCAACAGAAUAAGCACCGGCUAACUUCGUG
rnacentral:rRNA from 1 species